CUUCCCGUGACCCUCCCCUUCCCGUGACCCUCCCCUUCCCGAGGCCCUCGCACCAGCAGUGGAGGCACGCCACCUCCUUUUCCAUGAAUCUUCACCGCAAGCACAGAAACCAACAGUGGGCUAGGAAUUUUGACGGCAGUGGAAAUGAACGGUCCCUUCCCUCCUGGUCCUAGAAGACAUGCUACUAUACGGCACAGCUGAGCGGACGAGAGGAGGGAGAGAACACAGAAGAAUUACACACCAGCUCUUCAGUGCAGAAGUAGAGUCUGACUAACACAGAAACCCACGCAUAGAGUGACACGCUCUGGAACAUUCAGCUCUGAACAGGACACCUUUAUCAAUCCUCUCCUCAAGACCCAGGAUCUGUGCAGAAGAGACAGUGGAAUGAUUUAAAGCCAGAAGUAGCAGAUGACUCCAAGAAAGCAGCCACCUCCAGACACAACAUGACGGAUACACAUACGAAGUCACAGAGGCUGGGAAAGCAUUCACAAGACCUGCACAGGUUCAAACCAGGCAAAGUCACAGCAAGGGGAAGAAGAAGCUGAUACUAAGUCCCACUUCAAACAAGCAGCUAUUUGCAACUGAUAUUUUCUGGGAAAGGAAAAAGUUCAUAUAUUGACACUCCAGAGCAGACUCCAUGCCCAGGAGCUGUUGGUCAACACAAAGUGAACUCUAUGGAAAAAUGGAGACAGGACAAUCACCAGAAGCUUGCAGCCAUCCAGCAUGGCAUAUGCAUUACUGGACAAGAGAGAUGCUGCCCCUCCCCAUUCACAGGAUCACACAUACUUACAGUCACACAUAGACACAAUCACACACCAAACACCACACACACACACACACACCACACACAUACACACCACACCAC